CAGCGAGGCUAAGCUAGUGGGGGCAAAGUUUCAGUGCAUUCCGUUGAUGUAGACAGCAUUUAAAACGGAAACAACAAGUAUGCCGUCUCACUGUGCUGCAUACAGUUGCACACUGUGUCGUACGAUUGAGACAAGGAAACCUGGAAUGACUUUCAUAGGUUUCCCAGAGACUAUGGGUUGAGGAGGAAUUGGAAGUUUGUCGGCUUAGACCUGGUGUCAUUCCAUCAGUGUUAAACUUCCCGGCUCAUCUUGGAAGAGUACGUGCCAGAAAGACCACGACCAAGCAGCCUUGAGAUCUUAGGCAGCGUCUCCCUGAGACCAAAGAACUACAGACUCUUCACAACCUGCUCAAUCUCUUGGUACAGGACCUCACCACACGGGUCAAGAAGGUUUCCAUCUCAUUUCUACUCUGAAGCUCACCUUCUCCUGCUCAAACUGCUGACAAAUGUUUCUGCUGCUCUAAAGUCUGGUCUCCAGAACUUCCUAAAAACUCUCAAAGUCUCUUCUGCUGCAGGUUGCUAUAUAGAACUGUUGCAGAAAACCUCACUAAACCACAUGGAGGGGCCUCAAGAUAGUCGUCCAAAUGAAACCAUACAAAAACCAAACUAGCACAACCCAAACGCUAAAGUCUCCUGCAGCCUACCAGAGAACCUCUGAGAACAGAGAAUCAGGACAGGAACUCUUACCUUCUGGACAACCAACGCUGGUUCACAAACAAGAAUACAGAAUGUGUCUGACCAAAAACCUCUGAAGACUCACUACAGCCAAGAUAAAGACACAACUCAGCUGCAGCAAAUCCGCUAAUCACUGCACACAUUAGCACCAUGUGCUAACUGUGGCUAAAGAACC
ensembl:lncRNA